UUACUUUUGAUCAAUGUCCAA
ensembl:piRNA 21ur-7643 ncRNA